rnacentral:rRNA from 1 species
ACGAACGCUGGCGGCGUGCUUAACACAUGCAAGUCGAACGGAAAGGCCCUGCUUGCAGGGUACUCGAGUGGCGAACGGGUGAGUAACACGUGGGUGAUCUGCCCUGCACUUCGGGAUAAGCCUGGGAAACUGGGUCUAAUACCGGAUAGGAGCCAUUUUUAGUGUGAUGGUUGGAAAGUUUUUUCGGUGUAGGAUGAGCUCGCGGCCUAUCAGCUUGUUGGUGGGGUAAUGGCCUACCAAGGCGGCGACGGGUAGCCGGCCUGAGAGGGUGGACGGCCACAUUGGGACUGAGAUACGGCCCAGACUCCUACGGGAGGCAGCAGUGGGGAAUAUUGCACAAUGGGCGCAAGCCUGAUGCAGCGACGCCGCGUGGGGGAUGACGGCCUUCGGGUUGGAAACUCCUUUCGCUGGGGACGAAGCUUUUUGUGACGGUACCUAGAUAAGAAGCACCGGCUAACUACGUG